ACGGAUAACAUACCGAAAGGUAUGUUAAUACGGGAUAAUAUAUUUGAGAGGCAUCUCUUGAAUAUCAGAGGUGAGCCAGUACAGGAUGGACCCGCGUCUGAUUAGCUAGUUGGUAAGGUAAAGGCUUACCAAGGCGACGAUCAGUAGCCGACCUGAGAGGGUGAUCGGCCACAUUGGAACUGAGACACGGUCCAAACUCCUACGGGAGGCAGCAGUGGGGAAUAUUGCACAAUGGGCGAAAGCCUGAUGCAGCAACGCCGCGUGAGUGAUGAAGGCCUUCGGGUCGUAAAACUCUGUCCUCAAGGAAGAUAAUGACGGUACUUGAGGAGGAAGCCCCGGCUAACUACGUGCCAGCAGCCGCGGUAAUACGUAGGGGGCUAGCGUUAUCCGGAUUUACUGGGCGUAAAGGGUGCGUAGGCGGUCUUUCAAGUCAGGAGUGAAAGGCUACGGCUCAACCGUAGUAAGCUCUUGAAACUGGGAGACUUGAGUGCAGGAGAGGAGAGUGGAAUUCCUAGUGUAGCGGUGAAAUGCGUAGAUAUUAGGAGGAACACCAGUUGCGAAGGCGGCUCUCUGGACUGUAACUGACGCUGAGGCACGAAAGCGUGGGGAGCAAACAGGAUUAGAUACCCUGGUAGUCCACGCUGUAAACGAUGAGUACUAGGUGUCGGGGGUUACCCCCUUCGGUGCCGCAG
rnacentral:rRNA from 1 species